AGUGAACGCUGGCGGUAGGCCUAACACAUGCAAGUCGAACGGCAGCACAGUAAGAGCUUGCUCUUACGGGUGGCGAGUGGCGGACGGGUGAGGAAUACAUCGGCAUCUACUUUUUCGUGGGGGAUAACGUAGGGAAACUUACGCUAAUACCUCAUACGACCUACGGGUUAAAGCAGGGGAUCUUCGUACCUUUCGCGAUUGAAUGAGCCGAUGUCGGAUUAGCUAGUUGGAGGGGUAAAGGCCCACCAAGGCGACGAUCCGUAGCUGGUCUGAGAGGAUGAUCAGCCACACUGGAACUGAGACACGGUCCAGACUCCUAAGGGAGGCAGCAGUGGGGAAUAUUGGACAAUGGGCGCAAGCCUGAUCCAGCCAUACCGCGUGGGUGAAGAAGGCCUUCGGGUUGUAAAGCCCUUUUGUUGGGAAAGAAAAGCAGCAGGUUAAUACCCCGCUGUUCUGACGGUACCCAAAGAAUAAGCACCGGCUAACUUCGUG
rnacentral:rRNA from 1 species